AAUAGAUGAACGAAGGCUAAAACCAUCACGUCCUGUGAUAACGCCUUCGUGACCAACAUCGGUGCUGUUGC
rnacentral:sRNA from 1 species